rnacentral:tRNA from 1 species
GCCCUCGUAGCCCAACAGGCAGAGGCAGGCGGCUUAAAACCGUCCCAGUGUGGGUUCGAGUCCCACCGAGGGCA